rnacentral:tRNA from 1 species
GGGCUCGUAGCUCAGCUGGUUAGAGCGUUGCAUUCACAUUGCAAAGGUCACUGGUUCGAGUCCAGUCGAGCCCA